CACAGACCUGGAGUCCACUUCCCCUUUCCUUCAACCUUCUAGCUGUGUGACUUUCAGAAAAUCAAGUAACCUUCCUGAGCCUCAGUGUUUCAGCCUCCCAGAGCCACCGUGAAGAUGAGAUGCUGUGAUGGAUGGAGGUGUGUGGCAGGCAGAAUACUGGAAAUCAGAUAUCCAUGUCCUGAUCCACAGAGCCUCUGAAUGUUACCCGACACGGCAAAGGGGAAUUUGCAGGAGUGAUUACAUUAAGGAUUUUGAGAUGGGGAGAUUAUUCUCGAUUAUCCAGAUGGGCCCGAGGCAGGCAUCAGGGUCUUAUAAGAGGAGGCGGGGCAGCAGAUUGGAGAGGUGGAAAGUGAGGAGACAGUAGAAGCAGACACUGGAGUGAUGUGGCCACAAGCCAGGGAAUGCUAGCAGACUCUGGAAGCCAGAGGUGGUGAGGAUCAGCUUCUUCCCUAGAGGCCUCAGGAAGAACCAGCCUUGCCGACACCUUGACUUUAUCCCAGUGACGCUGGCCGCCACACCUGUAGGGGAGUAUACAUGGAUGUGGUUUUAGGUCACUGAGAUCGUGGUAAUUCAUCAUAGCGGCCACAGGAAAUGGAUACAGGAUGUUGUGAAGAUAGACAGUCCUCCACAAGGAGAAGGAUUUGCUGUAACGUCGUCAGAGCAGCCCUCCAGGCUCCUCUGUCCAUGGGAUUCUCCCGGCAAGAAAUACUGGAGUGGGUUGCCAUGCCCUUCUCCAGGGGACCAACCUGGAUCUCUUACAUCUCCUGCAUUGGCAGUCACACAUUAAGGAAGGCUUUCCCUGGUGGCGCUGUGGAUAAGAAUCCGGCGACCAACACAGGGGACAUGGGUUCAAUCCCCAGUCCAGGAAGAUUCCACGUGCCACAGAGCAACUGAGCCGGCUUGCCACAACCACUGAAGUCUUCAUGCUCUAGGACCCGAGAACCACAAUUACUGAGCCCCUGUGCCACAGCCACUGAAGGCUGAGAGCCUAGAGCCCAUGAUCUGCAACAAGAGAAGUCACUGCAGUGAGAAGAAGCUAGAGCGCCAGAAGUAGAGAGUAGCCCCCGCUCCCUGCCCGCAUGCAGCAAAGAAGACCCAGCACAGCCAAAAUUAAAUAAAUACAGCAGUGUGUAUAAGUCAAAAAAUAAACUAAUUAAAAAAAAAAGAAAAGAAAACUCUGGAAGGUUUCUCCUGGUCAAUGGGUAUCCACACAGAUCUCACAAAAGGUUCUUAGUGUCACUGUGAGUUUUCCUCUGAAAGCCUUUUUCAGAACUGGGCAUCCUGAGUGAUUCUAGAAUUUCAAAAUCUGUGGAGGGGAGCAAGCUGGAGAAUCCUUUUGUUCACGCAAGUUCAGCUCCUCUGGAAAUUGGGAGCCAGCCCUCAAAAAUCUCAGAUGUUCUUGAUGUGAGCCUCUCGGAGACCUUCAGAGGCGAUCCCUGGCUGAGGACUUGCCAACCUCAAGGGUAACCUCUGUGCCUUGAAACUGUGAAGUUAGAGCAAGAAGCCGGUCACACAAAUAGCCUUGCAACCUGAGUGUGCACGCAUCAGGAUCGCUUGGAAGGCUGCUGAUGCAGACUGCUGAGCACCCCCAGCCCAGGGAGACUCAAAGUAUCCGCGCUGAGACUGGACAAUUUGCAUUUCUUCGUUUGUUUGCUGAAAUGUGACCCAUUCUUGUGGGAUGAUGCCAACACUGGAUGCAGGACUAUUUUAAAGUCAUUUGGACCUAAUCUCACUUUCACAGAUUCUGCUCCUUAUUACAUCAAAUAUAUUAAAACUUAGCCCAUUACACAUCAAAGCAAGUCUAUUUUGCUACAAAUUUUACAAGGACUUUUAUAAAUUUGCUUUUAAUAAAUAUUUACUGUGUUUAUAAAUAAGUCAUUAAUAAUAAUAUAAUUUAUAAUAAAUUAUUUGUUUACUGUAAUUCAUAAAUAUAUAAAUAAUUUGUUUAAUAAAUAAUUUACUGUAGAC
ensembl:lncRNA